AACGAACGCUGGCGGCGUGCUUAACACAUGCAAGUCGAACGAGAACGGAUUAUAGCUUGCUAUAAUUGUCAGCUAAGUGGCGCACGGGUGAGUAAUGUAUAGGUAAUAUGCCUCUUACUAAGGGAUAACAAAUGGAAACGUUUGCUAAUACCUUAUACUCCUUAUUAACAGAAGUUAAUAAGGGAAAGAUUUAUUGGUAAGAGAUUAGCCUGUAUUGUAUCAGUUAGUUGGUGGGGUAAUGGCUUACCAAGACUAUGACACAUAACUGGUUUGAGAGGAUGAUCAGUCACACUGGAACUGAGACACGGUCCAGACUCCUACGGGAGGCAGCAGUGGGGAAUAUUGCACAAUGGACGAAAGUCUGAUGCAGCAACGCCGCGUGGAGGAUGACACAUUUCGGUGCGUAAACUCCUUUUAUAUGAGAAGAUAAUGACGGUAUUAUAUGAAUAAGCACCGGCUAACUCCGUGCCAGCCGCCGCUGUAAUAC
rnacentral:rRNA from 1 species